UACGGGGGGGGCAAGCGUUGUUCGGAAUUACUGGGCGUAAAGGGUUCGUAGGCGGUUUGGUAAGUCUUAUGUGAAAUCUACAGGCUCAACUUGUAGUCUGCAUGAGAAACUGCCGGGCUUGAGUGUGGGAGAGGUGAGUGGAAUUCCUGGUGUAGCGGUGAAAUGCGUAGAUAUCAGGAGGAACACCUGUGGCGAAAGCGGCUCACUGGACCAUAACUGACGCUGAUGCACGAAAGCUAGGGGAGCAAACAGG
rnacentral:rRNA from 1 species